AUCCAGCUGACGAGUCCCAAACAGGACGGAAUGCGCGUCCUGGAU
rfam:Schistosoma mattheei strain Denwood, Zambia genome assembly, scaffold: SMTD_scaffold0014542